rnacentral:piRNA from 1 species
UUUUAUAACGACGGGCCAAGCAGAG